rnacentral:rRNA from 1 species
CUACGGGGGGCAGCAGUGGGGAAUAUUGCACAAUGGGCGCAAGCCUGAUGCAGCAACGCCGCGUGGGGGACGAAGGCCUUCGGGUUGUAAACCUCUUUUAGUAGGGAAGAAGCGCAAGUGACGGUACCUACAGAAAAAGCACCGGCUAACUACGUGCCAGCAGCCGCGGUAAUACGUAGGGUGCAAGCGUUGUCCGGAAUUAUUGGGCGUAAAGAGUCGUAGGCGGUUUGUCGCGUCUGCUGUGAAAAUCCGAGGCUCAACCUCGGACCUGCAGUGGGUACGGGCAAACUAGAGUGCGGUAGGGGAGAUUGGAAUUCCUGGUGUAGCGGUGGAAUGCGCAGAUAUCAGGAGGAACACCAAUGGCGAAGGCAGAUCUCUGGGCCGUAACUGACGCUGAGGAGCGAAAGCGUGGGGAGCGAACAGGAUUAGAAACCCGCGUAGUC